AUUUUAGGUACACGUGUGACAUUUGUGGGAAAAAAUAUAAAUAUUAUAGCUGCUUCCAAGAACACAGAGACCUCCACGCCGUCGAUGUUUUUAGUGUGGAAGGGGCCCCAGAAAACCGGGCAGACCCCUAUGACCAGGCCGUCAUAGCAGCCGAUGAAGUGAAGGAGGAGGAGCCGGAACCGUUUCAAAAGAUUGGUCCAAAAACUGGCAAUUAUACCUGUGAAUUCUGUGGCAAGCAGUACAAAUACUACACUCCCUACCAAGAACAUGUGGCACUGCAUGCACCUAUUAAGUUCUCUCGAUCUCCACUCUUCGUGGCAGUGAAGACACAGGCGAGCCAAUCCAGCAAAAAAACACCGCCUUCAAUAAACCGAUGUUCCACCCUCCUGCACCGCACCCCCUCCGGUGUCCCACCGGCAUCCCAAUCCCAGAUGUUCCGCGCUCCAAAUUCUGGAUCCCCAGGAAGCAAGGCCAUCACAGAAAGUGCUUCAGGAGAGGGGAAGGCAAAGGGCAAAA